AGCUUAAUGAUGAAUUUCUCUUUGAUUGCUUGAAGCAAUAUGAAAAAAUACAUUUCACCGGCUCUGAAAGCU